rnacentral:lncRNA from 1 species
GAGGUGGAUGCUCUUGUCUUGCCUGAGAGUGCUGAGUCAGAUCUGUAUUCAGCUUUAGAUCCUAGUCUUCCUUCACCAAUUCUGAGGAGACCCCACCCUCCCUUGCGGAAGUCCGUGAUCUGUGUGUUUACAAGGCAGCCUCAGGGGGGUCUUUACAAGGAAUUUUGUGACUCAGUUACCUAAAGGAGUUGUGAUUUCUCCAAGACCUGUGCAGAUGCUUUCCUUAUGGUUCGCUCUCCAUGGCCCACGCCUAGGUCCUGGCCAGAAUCUCUUUGUCUAUUCAGGAGCACUGUGGUCAAUGCUGUUAAUCUGCCUUGCUGAAAGCCAAAAAAAAAAAAAAAAAAAAAGUACCCAAAAUGGCACCAAUCUUGUGAAUGCCACUUCCCUUUUGGCUGCCUAUUAAUAGCACAUCACCCUUUCAGUGACCUAGACUAGAAAUUGCUAAGUCAUUUUCCUUUUGUUUGGCAGUGAUGGGGAUUGAACCCAUGUCCUUAGUGCAUGCUUAGGCAAGCACUACUGCCAAGCCACAUCCACAGCCCUUGCAGAAACGUUCUUGAUUUCCUCCCAGUCUCUAGGCCACCCACAAACCAUCACUCAUUAAUACGGUUCUCCCUGCUCUGACCACCACACUUCUCCCCAUUACAAUCUUGAUGGCAUUCAUUUAGGCACCGGAGACAGGAGACAGCGCAGAAGCUGAGGGAACCUUGAGUGAAUCACUUUGGGUGGGGGGGAGACUCCCCCUAUACCAGAGAAAACAAAUCUCAAAGCAGGUCUAUGGAAAUGUAAUAUUGUUUUGUGAAAUGAAUGCUUUUAACAUAUAGAAAGUAAUGUCCUGUAGCCUUAUUCUUUAUAAGAAACUAUAAGAUACAUUAAAAUGUCAUUUAUUUAUUGGGGUGACAUUCUUGGUGGGGGGCAAUGGGUUACACAUAAAUGGUGAGGGGGCUCUUCAGACAGCAUGACUAGCUUCACAUGGGUGUCAAAAGGAACACAGAGUGGAGCCAGGUGUCUGCUCUGCCCGUGUACUCCUGUAAGUUCUGCUGCCUGCAGCCUCCUGUUCCAACCUCUCUGUCUCGUUUGCAGAGAAAGUCUAAAUCUCAGCUAUGACGUGAUUUUGUGCAGCAACAAUCUUUAUGGAUCUAAUGGAUGUAGAUACAUACAUCCCUUAAUAGUCUGUCCUGGCUGUGUGUGUAUGUUUCACCCCAUCCAGAGGAGCAGACGUCUGUACUUGUGGCUGGCUAGUGGAGACUAAACUUGCAAUUUCCCAUUUAAGAUACAGUGUGUGUGUGUGUGUGUGUUAGAUGCUCUUCUCUGUCAUUCUCCAUCCUAUUCCUUUGAAACAGGGUCUCUCACUGAGUUUGGAACCUGUCUGGUAGCCAGCAAGUCCCAGGCAUCCCACUGUCUCCAUCUCAUACCAUGUUAGAUUUCUUUUUAGGGUUUUUGUUUGUUUGUUUUUAAAUGUGGGUGGUGGGGCAUUUGAACUCAAAUCCUUAGACUUUCACAGAAAUUACUCUUUUCCCACUGAGCCAUCUUCCCACUUUUAAGCAAUCACUCUCAUCACAUGCUGAACUACCACAGUAUUCACUAAGUGCUUAAGGGAAAUGAAACGCAGAAAUUAAUCAUUUAUAGAGAAGUGGUUUUAUUUUUAUCUGCUCAGCCUUAAGGAUGAGUGUUAAUAUUACAAGGCUCUCACUCCCUGCUUGGACCAAGAAUUUGAAAAGCUUGCACCUUUAGAACAUAUUUCUUUGAGAUCAAUUCAGUCAUUUCCUGCUGGAGACGGCCAAGGCAAAGGGCAGCUACUUGGGCGUUUUAACUGCAGAGGUAGUAUUCCUUGAAUUUAGAACGUGUCCUUAUAUAAGUACUGAGCAAGCUGAUCCUAUUAUAACCAUAAUAUAGACUUUAUUUAGCUAAAACAAGGAAAUACUACUUGUGCCAGCAUU